ensembl:snoRNA SNORA70 Small nucleolar RNA SNORA70
CUGCAGUCGGUUAAGCCAAUCAGUCAAGCUUCUUUCCUCACAGGGGCCUGGUGUGUAGCGGACACUCACAGCAGCCUCCUCAGGAAUGUAUGCAGUCUAUUGCCGAUACGGAUAGCUCUCAGGGACCUUGGAGACAUUU